rnacentral:lncRNA from 1 species
GGGGAUAAGGGAAAAAAGGAAGAAAGCAGUUGCAAGUAUUCUUCCCAAACCUAGUGAAUAUACUUUGUUUUAGGGUCACUGGAUAAGUGGAAUCAACAAGUCUAAAAGAACAUACUCCAAAACCUGCAGAUGAUUUAGAGGCAGAACUGGAGCAUGGAGAUGGCAUAGGUUAUGGACUUAAGGCUGGCAGUGGCUUGUAUGGAAAGAGGACCAGCACGGAGGAUGAAGAUGAAGUACAGCAUUUUUGGAAGGAUGAAAUUGACCACCGUGUAUGGCCAGUUUUUGUGGAGCAAACAGGACAAGAAAUAGAACUACAUCACUGAGAAUUUCCCCCAGAAGCACAAGAACAAGAUAUGAAUGAUAAAACUGUCCACUGGUUGAGGUCCCUGA